UUUAAACUUCAAAAAUAAGUUUUAUUUUAUUCUUCUUUUUCUUUCUACAUCAUAAAAAUAAAAUAAUUAAAAAAAAUCUUUAGUUACAAGUUCAUUUUUCAUCUUCUUAUAGUAACUAAAACCAACUUAACAAAAGGGACUUCAAUUACAUCAGAAAAUUCACAACAAAUUUCUACAGUAACUUCAAACAUUAUAAAACAAGAAAUAUUUCAAAACAUAUCAAAGUUUACUACAUGUUUAUUUUUUGCAGUAACCCAAAAUAACACAAAAUGGCUUAUCUUUCCAUCUUCUGCUGCAUCUGCUUAACCCAAAAUAACACAAAAUGGCUUAUCUUUCCAUCUUCUGCUGCAUCUGCUUUUCUAAGCAGAAAAGCCCUUUUGAGGAUAUGUUCGUCACUAUUGUCUCGUGUGUCAAUUGUAAAAAAAAUCUUACAUAACUUGAAUCAAAGUCAAUUGCAGGAAAAGUAAGAGCAGAGUAUCACUAAUUUGAGAAUUUGACAGAACUUAGAUUAGGAUAACAUAGUUUGACUCAAUUCAAAAAUCAUAUUUUAUAAAUCACAAGACCCUAAUCUGAACUGAUGAGCAUCAAUAUAAAAGCAAGCUCUGUUAAGCAUUAUAAAAAAAGAUUUGAAAUUAAUAUAGAACAAAAAACCACUAUCACAACAAGAGCUUCAAAAAUCAUCAUGAACAAAUAACUUAGCCACUCAAAGAAUACACACAGAACAUCAACACAAACCAUAUAAAAAAAAUCAUCAUAAAAAAAAAAGAGAAAGGAAGGUAACAACACUUAGAAGCAGAAGAAGACGUAUCGAAGAACAGAAAAAAGGGAGAAGGGAUUUACCUCAAGGAAUCGUAGCUCCGAUAACUUUCGGAUUGGUAAUAAGUCACUCUUACCUUUCAUUUUGUUAUAAGUUUUCUUUUGAAAUAUGAUUCCAUGUUGCUAGCCAUGUUUGAUUGUGUGAAACUUGAGUCGAUUGAAGGAAUUUCUUUUGAAAUAUGAUUCCAUGUUGCUAGCCAUGUUUGAUUGUGUGAAACUUGAGUCGAUUGAAGGAUUUUGUUAGUUUAGGGUUCGUUUUGGGUGCUCCGAUCUGGUUUGUGUAUCAUUUUUUUUGUGAUUUCAUGGUUAGAUUUGUGAUAAGGGACAAAUUUUGGAGAGGGUUUGUGUAGAUAAUUUUGUGUUUUGAUUUUGUUUUUUUUGCAAAAUUCGUGAGGAAUUUUUGUUUUUGUUUUUUCAUGGAGUUGUGUUUGGAAACGCGAAACAGAGAGAGGAAGAUGAAUACUGCUAUGCGUUCAUUACUCCACUUUAUUUUUUUGUUUUUUUUUUAAAUUUAUUUCCUUUUUUUAAGAAAAAACAAGUGUUUAGUUUUCAU
rnacentral:lncRNA from 1 species